CUGCAUUCGCCGGAACAAGAUGGCCGCCACCUCGUAGUCGAACUGCGGCCACCCAGACUAACAAUUAGAACACUGCGGUUAGAAUCGCUAAGAUGUGAUUAUAGGGCUUAACAAGCUCCUGGUUGGUCCAUGGUUCGUGUACCUGUUCGGUUCCCGAACAGCAUAGGAAAAUGGCACAAACUAAGUCUUUUAACAUGCUUUUUGCAGG